CUGCUUGUUUCAGCAGCACGUAUACUAAAAUUGGGCUGAUACAAAGCUCAGCAUGGCCCCUGCACAAGGAUGACACAAACAUGUCAGAACGCUAUGAUCUUCUA